GAUAACUUAUAAAUAAAAAAAAAUAAUAAGGGAUACAAGAGUAUGGAAUAAGCUGAAGUAGUAAAGAAUUGAGUAUUGAAAUGAAUAGAAUAAAUGCGAAAAAUUUUAUUAUCAACAAUUUUAAACUAAAAGAUAUUUUGUGUAGACAGGAUUAUCAGAAAUAUGAUUAGCUAAAUCCGAUUGCUGAUUGAGAUUACUAUUCCUGCUGUAUUAUUCCAAUAAGAAACUUGAGUAAAAAAUAUUUAAACCAUACUUUAUGUGAAAGGCAAUGAAAAGUGAAAAUAAGCAUCAAACGCGAGAAAUUAUGUAAAAUUUCAAGUCAAUAGCUUGAUUAAAAGUUAAAAUUAUCUUCGAA